rnacentral:rRNA from 1 species
UGCCAGCCGCCGCGGUAAUACGGAGGGGGUUAGCGUUGUUCGGAAUUACUGGGCGUAAAGCGCGCGUAGGCGGAUUGGAAAGUUAGAGGUGAAAUCCCAGGGCUCAACCCUGGAACUGCCUUCGAUACUGUUAGUCUUGAGGUCGAGAGAGGUGAGUGGAAUUCCGAGUGUAGAGGUGAAAUUCGUAGAUAUUCGGAGGAACACCAGUGGCGAAGGCGGCUCACUGGCUCGACACUGACGCUGAGAUGCGAAAGCGUGGGGAGCAAACAGGAUUAGAUA